rnacentral:lncRNA from 1 species
UUUAUUAUUGUCAUGUAUCAAAUUGUCCUUGUUGACAUCUGGUUUGGAUCAAGAAACAAGCGGUACUCAGAUGGAACUUAGGGAGUACGACGGAGUGCUGAGUCCACAUCGGGUGCACGAGGCCUUUUGUAAGUUGGAGCUGUGAGCAAAUGACCUCCUUUGAAUACCAUUUUGGGUGAGUUCUCGUGGUUUGUUACCUAUGGUAACAGGGCUGGAUUGCUAACACAACUG